UUUUUAAAAUUAAUUUUUUUGAAAUCAAUAAAUUAAAUUUUAUGUUCCAAGAGCCCUUUUUAU
rnacentral:tRNA from 1 species